rnacentral:tRNA from 3 species
CCCUUUGUAGCUUAGAGGUUAAAGCGUCUCCACAGAGAAGACGGGGGUUCGAUUCCCCCCAUCGGAA